UAGCAGCUGGAAAGCACUGAGAGAUGGC
rnacentral:piRNA from 1 species